CACAAUAUUAAUAUAUUAUUUUUCUGAAAUGGCAAUAAAUAAAUAAAUAAAUAUAAAUUAUUAAUAAUAUGACAUCACGUGAUUAAUUCUAACCAAUGAGACUGCUGGAACAGCAUCCAUGAACUGUCAUUCCGGAAUCGACUGGUACCGCAAACAGAUCAUUGGUUCUGCUCUUAUUUAUUGCCAUCUCGUCCUGUUUGCAGAAUUAACUGUGCCUCCAGCCAUUAAGCAGACCUGAACCAGUUGAUGAAGGUCUUCAGGAUCACCAGAAACUACAGGCAGGUGUGUGAGAAAGUUGGAGCUACAUACUGCAGGACGUUGGUCCUCCAUGACCAGGACUGGACACCACUGUUGUAAGUGAUCGAUCUAGCAGUCAAUCUGAUUCUCUGAAAGUCAUGUUCAUAACAUAUUGUAGGUGAUCUCAGCUCUGGCCCUCGAGAACCACUGUCCUGCAGACUUUAACACCAAACCUGGUCCAAUAUACCUGGGGCCGUAUUCACGAAAUGUUUUAUCUUACAACUAAAAGUUCUCCUAAAUAGCAGUAAAAAUUCUCAGGUAAGAGUUUUCACUUAAAGGAUUAGUCCACUUUUAACUCCUGAUAAUUUACUCACCCCCAUGUCAUCCAAGAUGUCCAUGUCUUUCAUUCUUC